rnacentral:rRNA from 1 species
GACAGAGGGUGCAAACGUUGUUCGGAUUUACUGGGCGUAAAGCGCGUGUAGGCGGCUUUGCAAGUCGGAUGUGAAAGCCCACGGCUCAACCGUGGAAGUGCAUCCGAAACUGCAUGGCUGGAGUCUCGGAGAGGAAGGUGGAAUGCUUGGUGUAGAGGUGAAAUUCGUAGAUAUCAAGCAGAACACCUGCGGCGAAGGCGGCCUUCUGGACGAUGACUGACGCUGAGACGCGAAAGCGUGGGGAGCAACCAGG